CAGCAGCCACGGGAAUACGAAGGGGGCUAGCGUUGUUCGGAUUUACUGGGCGUAAAGGGCGCGUAGGCGGACUGAUAAGUCAGGGGUGAAAUCCCAAGGCUCAACCUUGGAACUGCCUUUGAUACUGUUUGUCUUGAGUUCGAGAGAGGUAAGUGGAACUGCGAGUGUAGAGGUGAAAUUCGUAGAUAUUCGCAAGAACACCAGUGGCGAAGGCGGCUUACUGGCUCGAAACUGACGCUGAGGCGCGAAAGCGUGGGGAGCAAACAGGAUUAGAGACCCGAGUAGUCCCUGUCUCUUAUAU
rnacentral:rRNA from 1 species